UACGGGGGGGGCAAGCGUUGUUCGGAAUUACUGGGCGUAAAGGGCUCGUAGGUGGCCAACUAAGUCAGACGUGAAAUCCCUCGGCUUAACCGGGGAACUGCGUCUGAUACUGGAUGGCUAGAGAUUGGGAGAGGGAUGCGGAAUUCCAGGUGUAGCGGUGAAAUGCGUAGAUAUCUGGAGGAACACCGGUGGCGAAGGCGGCAUCCUGGACCAACACUGACGCUCAUGCACGAAAGCGUGGGGAGCAAACAGG
rnacentral:rRNA from 1 species